rfam:Dyadobacter psychrophilus strain DSM 22270 genome assembly, contig: LX75DRAFT_scaffold00010.10
ACAAUGGAGAGUUUGAUCCUGGCUCAGGAUGAACGCUAGCGGCAGGCUUAAUACAUGCAAGGCGAGGGGGCAGCAAUGUCACCGUCGUACGGGUGCGUAACGCGUAUGCAACCUACCUUCAACUGGGGGAUAGCCCGGGGAAACCCGGAUUAAUACCGCAUAACACAGGGGUACAGCAUUGUACUAUUUGUUAAAGAUUUAUUGGUUGAAGAUGGGCAUGCGUUCGAUUAGCUA